rnacentral:lncRNA from 1 species
UUUUUUUGUAAAACCAUCUAAAUCUUAUUUUUUGGGGGUAGUUUUGGGAUUUAAAUAAAAAUCUGUGCAAAGGUUAUUCCUAUGUACCUUAAUACAUUUAGCUAGAGUCCAUGUUCACACCCAACCUCUUAAACUAUGAUGGUUCUGUCCUCCCAUCCGUGCAGCACCUGCGUCCGCACCCAUUCUCUUUGCCUGCCCUCCUCUCGCUAGAAAUGUGCUGCUUGGGCUUCAAUCCAAGACUAAUCACUCCAGGAUAUCUCCGGCGAUGCUUUCCUCUCUCUCCUACAUUAUCAAUCUUUGCUCUUUGCUAGAUGAAAGCCACAAACAUAUACAUGUGCUGUUACUCCUCCCAUCUUAAAAAUAAAUGACCUUCCUGUGACCCCACUUUCCCAAAGCCUUUCUUUUCUUUGCUCCCCUUUGUAGUAAAGAUCCUUUCAGGAGUUGUCUCCACUGUCUCCACUUCCUUGCCUCCCACUCUCUCUUAAGGCCACUCUGGUCUGCCCCAUCAUUCCACUGAAACUAGUGUGGUCAGGGCCCCCAGUGCCUCACCUGAGACCAUAUCCAGUGGUCACUUCUUCGUCCUUAUCUUGCUUGGCCUAUCAAUUGCAUUUUAUACAACUGAUCACUUUCUCCUUGAUUCACCUCCUCACUUGGCUCCCAGGGUCCCACACCCUCUGGGUUUUACUCCUAUCCCUCUGGCAUCCUUCUUUUUCCUUUGCUGGUCUUUCCUCUUGUUAUUGUUGGAGAGCCCUAAGAAUCGGACUUGGUCUUCUUCUCUAGUACACUCUUUCCCUUGAUAAUCCCAUCUAGCCUCAUGGGUUCAUACCAUUCACGUGCUGAAAAGUCUGAAAUUUAAAUUUCCAUUCCAGACUUCUCAUCUGAACUCCACACUCAAAUAUCUCACUGCCUACCCAACAUCUCCACUCAUGCAUUUGAUGGAUGUCAGGACUCCGGCUGGCUCAGAAGACAGUUUCCAGAACCUACCGUAUUGCCUGGCAUAUUUCUGCCUUCAACACGUUUUUAUUGACAUAAACUUUAUCCUCCCAGCAACCCUGUCAGGUAAGUAUUGCUAUCGUUUUCUAUUUAUUUGUAAUUACAAGAGUCACAGAAACUCUUACUCAUCCCAGCCCCGCAUGAUGGGGGCACCAUCUCAUUAUCCACAUUCUCACAUAGGAUGUAAUCAAGGUCCAGGGAGAUGCAGCAACUUGCAUCAGGUCACCCCAGCAGACUUUGGUCACCCACAUUAUAUCCCCUCCUCUUAG